AUGCCACAAGCCAUCUCGUCUUCCUCUCCUUGGUACGUCCACCUGAGCGGCCAGCUCAUGUCAGCCGGGGCCCCUCGCCCCCUUCACCGGUCAGCCGGCUCACCAGGUCCUCCGUUUCUAGGUCAGGGUGGCGGGAAAGUGGCUGUGAUGCAGAUAUGCUCAAGGAGAAGAAGUGGGGCAGGACACAAGGUCUUUCUUAAUGGAUUUUCACAGGAAGACCAGAGACUGACCGGGCUGCAGAGUGUCAAGCAUCGAAAAGCUCUCAGAACACAAAAGAUGUUUUGCAAAAUGUUCGGUAACAGUGCAUGUGUCCAUACAACAAAAGUGAAUGUGCAGUGUGGCACAGUCUGGCUGUUGGCUGAAGGGGCUGACAUUGAGAUGGUAGAUAACGCUCAAUGACGGAGAGGCCAUUUGCUGCUGAUCCUGGGGUGAUGAAUCACACGACCGGAAAGAGAUGAGCUCGGAGCGCCGAGGAGAGAAAUGUGAAACAAGAAGAUAGUCAGCGAGAGGCCAAAAUUAAGGCCCUGUCGAGACGGCGACGCAGGGCUGGCAGAGGGGGACAUGGCCGGCCUGAGAGGACCCCGUGUAGAGCCUGCAGGAGGGAGCGAAGUGUGAUAAGGGAAGGUAGGACUUAAUCUUCUAAAGUGCUGAUGGUGCUGGAUGGAGAAGACUACGGCUGGAACUGCCGCUUUCAAAAAAGAACGCCAUUAUUCACCAUCAGAGUGCAGGGCCUGCAAAGAUUGUGCGUCUGUGUGUGCGUCUAAGAGAUAGUGUGUGCGCAAAGACCUAUUUGUGUAAAGUAUGUAUAGUGUCCCUCGAAAUACCGAUUCCAGAUUACAAGUCACGGCGACAAACAAAUACAGCAGGUUCAGCCUGUGGGGUCACUGUGUGUGUGUGUGUGUGUGUGUGUUGAUUAACUCUGUCCAUCGUUUACAGUCAUGGCGUGAAAGAAUCUGCAUCGCUGCUAUUAACAUUAUGAGCAGACCAAAACAGAUUUUUCAAAAGCACGAUUUGCAUUAUAAAAGUUACAUUUUGAUUGGAUUAGCUAUAUUAAAAAAGCGGUCUGAUAUACGCACACCUGUGAUGCAGAUUAAUUGAAUUAUAUAUUAAUGUAUCUAAUUUGCUUCAAACCAAAAAAAAAAAAAAGGGUUUAAGGGUUUAAAACUGGACCUUGCAAGGGGUGUGAUUUGGGGGUCUGCAAAUAAUUUGAGGGAAAGGAAAAAGAUGGUACAUAAAUAUAUUUUUAGGGCUGUCAAAGUUAAUGUAUUUAUUAUAUAUGUUUAACGCAUUAACACAACAAUUUUUUUUUUUACCAUAUUUGAUGCCAUUUGGCAUUAUCUGAUAGUUU
ensembl:lncRNA